rnacentral:rRNA from 1 species
UACGUAGGGACCGAGCGUUGUCCGGAAUCAUUGGGCGUAAAGAGCGUGUAGGCGGCCACUUAAGUCCUGCGUGAAAUCUUGCGGCUCAACCGCAAGCGGUCGUGGGAAACUGGGUGGCUAGAGUGCGGGAGAGGAGAGUGGAAUUCCUGGUGUAGCGGUGGAAUGCGCAGAUAUCAGGAGGAACACCGGUGGCGAAGGCGGGUCUCUGGGCCUUACCUGACGCUGAGGAGCGAAAGCGUGGGGAGCGAACAGG